GCGCGCACACACACACACACACACAAUCCUGCCCACAGAGGGAUCUCCGCAGGACCUAUCCAGCCCAGGGCCCCACAGACAGUACCUGACACUUUCCUUGGCUUACUGUGUGUGUGUGUGUGUGUGUGUGUGU